AGGGGCGGGGGCGGGGGCGAAUCCUUAGGAUGGGAAGGGAACGCUGGUGGGAAAUUUUGCAAAAUGGUCUGAAAUUUAAAUAAUAUUUAAAGUCUGGCUUUGGCCAGUUUGUGGAACACCCAAGUUUCUUCUUGUCUUUGGACCUUCGCAUAUAUUACGCUUUCUCCUACCUGGGAGCUGUAGAAUAGUGGAUUAGGUGGAUGGUAUUCCUGUGCAAGGGAGGCUUUCACUUUUCAUUUUGUACUAAUUUUACUCAUGUGCUACUGAAUAUAUUAACAGAGAUUAUUAAGAAGACAGCAGACCUUCAAGCAACACAGAAUUCCAGAGUCAGCAUCAGCAGCAGUGCCAGACUUGGAGAUAAAGAGCAACAUUUUUGAGAGAAGGGAGAAUGAAGCUUGAUGGCCCAAAGCUACAAAAAUUCACCACACAGCCUCUAAUCUGGAACUGCAAGAACCUUAGUCCUCCAUGGAGCCCAUUUGAAAACUGAAGUGAAGUGGUAGGUGCUCUGGUCUCGGCGUCAGAAAACUUGGUUUGAGUCUCACCUUGACACAGUAUGACAUCAGGCAACUCACCUUUGGCCUGCAAAUCUUAGUCUCAUCUGCAAAAUACUGCAGCGCCACCUGAUUUACUAAAUAAUGAUGAUCUGGUGAAAUAAAAUAUGUGCAAGACUUAGUAUAACCUGUAAA
rnacentral:lncRNA from 12 species